UCCUCAGUUCGGACUGGGGUCUGCAACCCGACCCCACGAAGCUGGAUUCGCUAGUAAUCGCGCAUUAGCCAUGGCGCGGUGAAUACGUUCCCGGGCCUUGUACACACCGCCCGUCAAGCCAUGAAAGCCGGGGGGCGGCCUGAAGUCCGUGACCGCGAGGGUCGGCCUAGGGUGAAACCGGUGAUUGGGGCUAAGUCGUAACAAGGUAUC
rnacentral:rRNA from 1 species